rnacentral:rRNA from 1 species
UACAGAGGGUGCAAGCGUUAAUCGGAAUUACUGGGCGUAAAGGGCGCGCAGGUGGUUGAUUAAGUCUGAUGUGAAAGCCCACGGCUUAACCGUGGAGGGUCAUUGGAAACUGGUCGACUUGAGUGCAGGAGAGGAGAGUGGAAUUCCUAGUGUAGCGGUGAAAUGCGUAGAUAUUAGGAGGAACACCAGUUGCGAAGGCGGCUCUCUGGACUGUAACUGACGCUGAGGCACGAAAGCGUGGGGAGCAAACAGGAUUAGAUA